ACAGUCAUUUCUCUUGAACUCAAAGAGAUCAUCAGUGAGAUGGAAGUAGCAGUUCGUGGGCAGAGCUUGCAGAGAAGCUGUACUCCAGAAGGACAGAUCCUGCUCCUUGACCUUCUCGUUUCCUAGAAUGCACACAUGCAGUGGACCACGCAGUACCCUUGCAGAUGAAAUCACACGUCAAAGACGGCAGAGUGGAACGAGAGAAGUAACCAGAAGUAAUCUGGGAAGGGUGAACCCCAUCCUAUGAGACUCCAGUUAUAAGCCUUAACAGCUGAUUGUCACAGCAGCAGGAUGGGUGGGUCUGCAUGGACACACAAGGCAGACACUCUGCUGGCAUGGUAGAUGGUUCCAAGUGAAGAACAGCUGACUUCAUGGGACUCUGUGAGAACAACCAAGCCUGUGAGACCGGGUCUGAAGCGAGCGACGCCCUCUCAGUUUCAGAGGCUGGAAAGUCCAAGAUCAAGAAGCUGAUAGACUUGGUGUCUGGAGAGUGCUUGCAGCUGUCUUCACAUGAAGGAAGAGACGAGAGACAAAUUUAGUACCUCAAGCUCUUUGAUGAGGGCACUAAUCCCAUGCAUAAAGAAUGAAACUAAUCACAACCUAAAGGCCCCAGCUGUCAAUACUGUUGCCUUGAGAAUCACACCGUGAACUGUAACUUCAGACCAUAAGAUCUGGGUUCCCAGUCCUCAGUUAGGGAACAAUAUCUGAACGUUUAUUCAGAUGGCUCUAGAGCAACUUACCCAGGCUU